AUGAACGCUGGCGGCGUGCCUAAUACCUGCCAGUCGAGCGCACGGACGAGAAGCUUGCUUUUCUGAUGUUAGCGGCGGACGGGUGAGUAACACGUGGAUAACCUACCUAUAAGACUGGGAUAACUUCGGGAAACCGGAGCUAAUACCGGAUAAUAUUUUGAACCGCAUGGUUCAAAAGUGAAAGACGGUCUUGCUGUCACCUAUAGAUGGAUCCGCGCUGCAUUAGCUAGUUGGUAAGGUAACGGCGUACCAAGGCGACGAUGCAUAGCCGACCUGAGAGGGGGAGCGGCCACACGGGAACUGAGACGCGGUCCAGGCGGCUACGGGAGGCAGCAGUAGGGAGUCUGCCGCAAUGGGCGAAAGGCUGACGGAGCAGCGCCGCGUGAGUGAUGAAGGUCGGCGGAUGGGAAGGGUCGGUUAGUAGGGAGGAACAGAUGUGGGGGGAACUGGGCAGAUGUUGACGGUACCUGAUGAGAAGGCCGCGGCUAACUACGUG
rnacentral:rRNA from 1 species